rnacentral:rRNA from 1 species
UUUCAACAACGGAUCUCUUGGUUCUGGCAUCGAUGAAGAACGCAGCGAAAUGCGAUAAGUAAUGUGAAUUGCAGAAUUCAGUGAAUCAUCGAAUCUUUGAACGCACAUUGCGCCCCGUGGUAUUCCGCGGGGCAUGCCUGUUCGAGCGUCAUUUCACCACUCAAGCCUAGCUUGGUAUUGGGCGUCGCGGU